UGCAUCAGCCGGGAAUCGAACCCAGGCCUCCCGCGUGGCAGGCGAGCAUUCUACCACUGAAUCACCGAUGC
rnacentral:tRNA from 1 species